UGAGGUAUCGCAACACACUUUCAUUCUUUAAGAUUUUGGUGCUGGAUAGUGAGGUGCAUUAUUUCCAUUCUUCUAUGUUUUAAAGGACAUGUCGCACUGAAAUCACAACAUUUCCAAGUGUUUCCGACAGCGUUUAUGUAACUUUGAAGAAAAUCAUUGCAGUGCAACUU